UACGAAGGGGGCUGGCGUUGCUCGGAAUGACUGGGCGUAAAGGGCGCGUAGGCGGUUUGUACAGUCAGGUGUGAAAUUCCCGGGCUCAACCUGGGGGCUGCACUUGAUACGUAGGAACUUGAGUGGGGAAGAGGGUCGUGGAAUUCCCAGUGUAGAGGUGAAAUUCGUAGAUAUUGGGAAGAACACCGGUGGCGAAGGCGGCGACCUGGUCCUUGACUGACGCUGAGGCGCGAAAGCGUGGGGAGCAAACAGG
rnacentral:rRNA from 1 species